GAAUGUAUCUAAAUGAAUUCCUAAUUAGCCAUGCAGAAUGUGGAUUCAAUAUGUGGCCGGUAUUAAAGGGGUGAGGAGGCAACCCUAUGGCAGGCUAACAGGACUCUGUGGGGCCCCACACGCAGACAACCAACACUCGCUGGAACACAGAAGCUGAUCAGAGGCAGAAGAUAGAAGUCAGUCAGUGAGAGAGUCAGCAGCUUCAUCCACCCAGUCCCAACCUGUCAGCACUGGAACCGGCUUCUGGACUAAUGGAGAACUAAACCCACCCCCAGACAAAAGCCUGCAUCUGCUGCCCUCCAUUGAGCCCCCUGCUCCCUCCCCACAGAGUUAGUUCAGCGACAUGGAGCUGCAGUGAUCCUACUGCUUUAACGUCAGCCAAAAACUGGAACUUCAAGACCAGCUCCAACAAUGUGACAUAAAAGCCAAGAUUCUUUUUUUAUUUCACCUGUAAUAAAUAACGUAGCCUCUGA